rnacentral:rRNA from 1 species
AACGAACGCUGGCGGCAGGCUUAACACAUGCAAGUCGAACGGUGUAGCAAUACACAGUGGCAGACGGGUGAGGAACACGUGGGAACAUCCCUUUCAGUUCGGAAUAACGUUGGGACACUAACGCUACAACCGGAUAUGUCUUGCGCGAGAAAGAUUUAUCGCUGAAAGAUUGGCCCGCGUCUGAUUAGCUAGUUGGUGAGGUAAUGGCUCACCAAGGCGACGAUCAGUAGCAGAUCUGUGAGGAUGAACAGCCACAUUGGGACUGAGACACGGCCCAAACUCCUACGGGAGGCAGCAGUGGGGAAUAUUGAACAAUGGGGGCAAGCCUGAUCCAGCCAUGCCGCGUGAGUGAUGAAGGCUUUCGGGUUGUAAAGCUCUUUUGUCCGGGAAGAAAAUGACUGUACCGGAAGAAUAAGCCCCGGCUAACUUCGUGCCAGCCGCCGCCGUAA